GUGGUUCGAUCCAUCAUCAUGAGGCGGAGGGUUGCUUUAAGGACGACGGCGCAGGAUGGGCUCGGAAUCCGGGCCGGAACCUAAUCCUUGUCCGAUUAGGUUCCUCUCCACAGCGCGCGCGUUACCCAAGAAUUAUGUUUUGGGGUUCUUAUCCAAUCCGUCCAUCCGUUCUUCGAUUAGAUUCUUCGUCUUCUCCCUGCUCAAGAAAGAUUGAGAUUAUGCUCCUUAUUGGUCUAAAUAAAAAAGAACAAAGCCCAUGGAUGAAACUACGCCAGGGCGAGAAGAAACUACGCCGCCAGAUUCAGCACCUGGAUACGAUUGGUCCCAACUCCCAGCGGAUCUGCUCAUCCGCAUAUUUCUUGCGGUAGAUGUCUUGGAUCUGCUCAGCGUCCGUGCUGUCUGCCAGUUCUGGCGGCUCAACUAUCUGGAGGCCCGUCGGCUUGCCUCCUGCUGCAGGAACCAGAGCCCUUGACUGCUCUACUCCUCCUCCGACAGUGAUCCGCACACAGCCACGAUGCACAGGCUCUCUGAUCAUAAGCUCUAUCGUGUCGUGCUACCUGAUCCGCCUCUCCGCAGCCGCUUCGUCAUGGGCUCCUCCCAUGGCUGGCUUGCCACAGCGAACGAUAGGUCCGAGCUUCUACUCGUGCCCAG
rnacentral:lncRNA from 1 species